AGAGUUUGAUUCUGGCUCAGAACUAACGCUGGCGGCGUGCCUAAUACAUGCAAGUCGAACGAGAAAGUCCUUCGGGAUGAGUAUAGUGGCGCACGGGUGAGUAACACGUGGGUAAUCUGCCCUGAGGUGUGGAAUAACCUCUCGAAAGAGGGGCUAAUACCACAUAAGACCACAGCUACUACGGUAGCAGGGGUUAAAGGUGACCUCUAUUUAUAAGUUUUCGCCUCAGGAUGAGCCUGCGCAGUAUUAGCUAGUUGGUGGGGUAAUGGCCUACCAAGGCAAUGAUACUUAGCUGGUCUGAGAGGAUGAUCAGCCACACUGGAACUGAGACACGGUCCAGACUCCUACGGGAGGCAGCAGUAGGGAAUAUUGCUCAAUGGGGGAAACCCUGAAGCAGCAACGCCGCGUGAGUGAUGAAGGCCUUCGGGUUGUAAAGCUCUGUUGUACGGGGCGAAUCCGGAUGUGGGUAAUAUUCACAUCCGUUGACAUUACCGUAUAAGAAAGGACCGGCUAACUUCGUGCCAGCAGCCGCGGUAAGACGGGGGGUCCUAGCGUUGUUCGGAAUCAUUGGGCGUAAAGCGUGUGCAGGUGGUUUGGUAAGUUGGAUGUGAAAGCCUUGGGCUUAACUCAAGAAGUGCAUUCAAAACUAUCAAACUUGAGUAUGGAAGAGGAUCGUGGAAUUCCGCAUGUAGUGGUGAAAUACGUAGAUAUGCGGAGGAACACCGGCGGCGAAGGCGGCGAUCUGGCCCAAUACUGACACUCAUACACGAAAGCGUGGGGAGCAAACAGGAUUAGAUACCCUGGUAGUCCACGCCGUAAACGAUGGAUACUUGGUGUUGAAGGUAUUGACCCCUUCAGUGCCGAAGCUAACGCGUUAAGUAUCCCGCCUGGGGAGUACGGUCGCAAGAUUAAAACUCAAAGAAAUUGACGGGGGCCCGCACAAGCGGUGGAGCAUGUGGUUCAAUUCGAUCAACGCGAGGAACCUUACCUGGGUUUGGCAUCUCCUGAACGCCGUAGAGAUACGGAAGGCCCGAAAGGGACAGGAAGACAGGUGCUGCAUGGCUGUCGUCAGCUCGUGUCGUGAGAUGUUGGGUUAAGUCCCGCAACGAGCGCAACCCUUGCCUUUAGUUGCCAGCAUUAAGUUGGGCACUCUAAAGGGACUGCCAACGUUAAGUUGGAGGAAGGUGGGGAUGACGUUAAGUCCUCAUGGCCUUUAUAUCCAGGGCAACACACGUGCUACAAUGGCCGGUACAAAGCGAAGCGAAACCGCGAGGUGGAGCCAACCGCAAAAAACCGGUCUAAGUUCAGAUUGGAGUCUGCAACUCGACUCCAUGAAGUUGGAAUCGCUAGUAAUCGCAUAUCAGCAUGAUGCGGUGAAUACGUUCCCGGGCCUUGUACACACCGCCCGUCACACCAUGAAAGCCUACUGUACCAGAAGUCGCUGUGCUAACCGUAAGGAGGUAAGCGCCUAAGGUAUGGUCGGUGAUUGGGGUGAAGUCGUAACAAGGUA
rnacentral:rRNA from 1 species